rnacentral:rRNA from 1 species
UACAGAGGGUGCAAGCGUUAAUCGGAAUUAUUGGGCGUAAAGCGCCUGUAGGUGGUUGGCUAAGUUUGACGUGAAAGCCCUGGGCUCAACCUGGGAAUGGCAUUGGAAACUGGCGAUCUAGAGUGCGGUAGAGGGUAGUGGAAUUCCCGGUGUAGCAGUGAAAUGCGUAGAGAUCGGGAGGAACAUCUGUGGCGAAGGCGACUGCCUGGACCAGCACUGACACUGAGGCACGAAAGCGUGGGGAGCAAACAGG